rnacentral:rRNA from 1 species
UACGAAGGGGGCUAGCGUUGCUCGGAACCACUGGGCGUAAAGCGCACGUAGGCGGCUUUCUAAGUCAGGGGUGAAAUCCUGGAGCUCAACUCCAGAACUGCCUUUGAUACUGAAGAUCUUGAGUUCGGGAGAGGUGAGUGGAACUGCGAGUGUAGAGGUGAAAUUCGUAGAUAUUCGCAAGAACACCAGUGGCGAAGGCGGCUCACUGGCCCGAUACUGACGCUGAGGCACGAAAGCGUGGGGAGCAAACAGG